UACAGAGACUGCAAGCGUUAUUCGGAUUCACUGGGCGUAAAGGGCGCGUAGGCGGUUCGAUAAGUCCCGUGUGAAAUCCCUCGGCUCAACUGAGGAAUGGCACGGGAAACUGACGGGCUUGAGUUCGGGAGAGGGAAGCGGAAUUCCGGGUGUAGCGGUGAAAUGCGUAGAUAUCCGGAGGAACACCGGUGGCGAAGGCGGCUUCCUGGACCGACACUGACGCUGAGGCGCGAAAGCUAGGGGAGCAAACGGG
rnacentral:rRNA from 1 species